GGGCCCGCACAAGCGGUGGAGCAUGUGGUUUAAUUCGAUGAUACGCGAGGAACCUUACCAGGGCUUAAAUGUAACGGGACAGAUCUAGAGAUAGAUCCUUCUUCGGACUCAUUACAAGGUGCUGCAUGGUUGUCGUCAGCUCGUGCCGUGAGGUGUCAGGUUAAGUCCUAUAACGAGCGCAACCCCCCAUCGUUAGUUGCCAACGAGUAAUGUCGGGAACUCUAACGAAACUGCCGGUGCAAACCGUGAGGAAGGUGGGGAUGACGUCAAAUCAUCACGGCCCUUACGUCCUGGGCUACACACGUGCUACAAUGGUCGGUACAGAGAGCAGCCACUACGCGAGUAGGAGCAAAUCUUUAAAGCCGAUCUCAG
rnacentral:rRNA from 1 species